rnacentral:rRNA from 3 species
GGACUACCAGGGUUUCUAAUCCCGUUCGCUACCCUAGCUUUCGCGUCUCAGCGUCAGUAGACGUCCAGGACCUCGCUUUCGCCACGGGCGUUCCUUCCGAUCUCAACGCAUUUCACCGCUCCACCGGAAGUUCCAGGUCCCCCUACGUCCCUCGAGGCGGGUCGUUUCGGCGCCCAUUCCCCGGUUGAGCCGGGGGCUUUCAACGACCGACGUUCCCGCCCGCCUACACGCGCUUUAAGCCCAGUGAUUCCGAAUAACGUUCGCACGGUUCGUCUUACCGCGGCGGCUGGCAC